GCUGCUCUGACGCUGUGCUGGCAUCGGAGGAACUCAUGGCUUCAGACGGGGCAUGACAUUUCACUAAUUCAGAGUCCUUUCGGAAAGAAAAUCCCUAUCUUCUGUGGAAAUGAUUUUUCUUGCAAGUGAUUGCUUUUCCUUUCAAAACACGGUAAUAGGAAGUGUUGUCUCCAUUUUAAAUGUUUCUUUCAUUCCUUUUGUCAUUUACCAUUUUAAAGAAACUCAGUAGCAAUGUCAUAGGGGUCUUCAAAGAGGAGCUUAUAAAUAUUUCAUGCUUUGAUUUUCUAUUUCGUUUCACUAAAUAAUAAUGUAAAAGACCCCUCACUCCUAUCUGUUUCAAGGCUAUAAAUUCUUUGGUUUCAAAUGUUGUCUCCUAAAAAUGAUGCCACUUGUGUGUUCAGCAAGCGUUCCUUGGUAUGUUCUCUAAUGCCUGGAAUUCGACUCAUCCUGUACAAUGUGACUAGCUUUUGCUUAGGCUGAGAAGGAGUGCCCGAUUUAAGUCUUGGGAGAAGAUGGGAUGAUGGGAUGUUUCUGGACCAAAAACCACAUAAACAUGUGACUGUAAAACCUGUUCUAUUGGACAAUCCCAUAUCCUCCAGUUUUUGUUUUGUUUUGUUUUGUUUUUUAAGAUGGACUGGCAGCUGGAGUGGGGGCUUCUGAAUUGAUCUCCCUGGAGUAGCACACGUUAUUUAUUUAUUUAUGUCACUCCUGAGCGUGGACAUUCCUCACAUACACUAGCACCACUGCACAAGGUGUGGAGCAAUCUUUGUCAGCGGUCGUGUAUGCAGUGUGUGACUGCACAGGAACUGACUCCUCACCUCAGGCUUUCUGAAGGAACUGGAAUUAAAUUAGACUCUUCUCAGCCAGACCAGUUCCUUUACCCAGUUCAAGAUACAACUAUGGCUACAUCACAGAAAAAGUUGUAUGAAUGUGGAGACAAACAGCGGAAGUAGGAUGCCUCACAUUGGCUGUCAGGGCUGCCAAAAACUGGAAGAAAAAGGAUCGGAGGUAGCAGUGGAAGGGACAGGGCACAAGAAAGAAAAGGAAAGAAACGCGGACGCUCACACACAACUUCUUACAAUGGCUCCAGCAUGCCCUUCCAUUGGCAGGAAUCCUUUUGAUCAAAUCCUUGCCCUGGGCUGGAAGUGUUUUAAUGAGCAUACAGGCAUCGUCUUUUUUUUCCUAUGUCUAUUUUGUGUUCUUAAGGAUAGAUAAGUAAAGUGUGCACUUAAAUGAUCGUGUGAGCACUUCUUAACUGUUUUGUAGAGGAAAGGCAUAGCGCUUGAAUGUGGAGGCUGAACAGUGCCAGCCUGAAGGACAAGGAAAAUAGCAGAGGAGGAAACUUGAGCUGAACCGAACUUGUUUUCUUUAACGUCUUAUUUUCUUUUGGAGAAGGAAUAGGCAGCGUGCAAACAGGUAAACAUCUGUUGGAUGAUGGGUGUUUUAUGGAGACUCCCAUGUCUUGCUGCUUCUCCCCAUAGAAUAUUCUGAAUUGAAAAG
rnacentral:lncRNA from 1 species